GAGCGGCGACGGGUGAGUAACACGUGGGUGAUCUGCCCUGUACUUCGGGAUAAGCCUGGGAAACUGGGUCUAAUACCGGAUAUGAGCCGAGGUUGCAUGACCUCGGUUGGAAAGAUUUAUCGGUACAGGAUGGGCCCGCGGCCUAUCAGCUUGUUGGUGGGGUAAUGGCCUACCAAGGCGACGACGGGUAGCCGACCUGAGAGGGUGACCGGCCACACUGGGACUGAGACACGGCCCAGACUCCUACGGGAGGCAGCAGUGGGGAAUAUUGCACAAUGGGCGGAAGCCUGAUGCAGCGACGCCGCGUGAGGGAUGACGGCCUUCGGGUUGUAAACCUCUUUCGACAGGGACGAAGCGCAAGUGACGGUACCUGUAGAAGAAGCACCGGCCAACUACGUGCCAGCAGCCGCGGUAAUACGUAGGGUGCGAGCGUUGUCCGGAAUUACUGGGCGUAAAGAGCUUGUAGGCGGUUUGUCGCGUCGUUUGUGAAAACUUGGGGCUCAACCCCAAGCUUGCAGGCGAUACGGGCAGACUAGAGUACUUCAGGGGAGACUGGAAUUCCUGGUGUAGCGGUGAAAUGCGCAGAUAUCAGGAGGAACACCGGUGGCGAAGGCGGGUCUCUGGGAAGUAACUGACGCUGAGAAGCGAAAGCGUGGGUAGCGAACAGGAUUAGAUACCCUGGUAGUCCACGCCGUAAACGGUGGGUACUAGGUGUGGGUUUCCUUCCACGGGAUCCGUGCCGUAGCUAACGCAUUAAGUACCCCGCCUGGGGGAGUACGUCGCAGCUAAACUCAAGGAUUGACGGGGGCCGCACAGCGGCGGAGCAUGGUGGAUUAAUUUCGAUGCAACG
rnacentral:rRNA from 1 species